rnacentral:lncRNA from 1 species
GCUCCCUCCCUAGAUCUUCCAUCCAGGAUAGUCCUGGAAAUGAUCUUGAUGCUAUCUGUUCCUCGUUACAGCAGACCUGCUCAACUUCAGCAGCUAGAAGGAGGAUUGUCUUUCACCAGCUGCAGGAGCCUGUUCCCACUACAAGCCUGGUGGAGUCUUCGGAGCAGAUGUGACUGUCCUACUUGUAUAGAGAAGAGAAACUGAGGCUCAGAAGAGAUGCCUGGCUGAGUUUAAUAGGACUGCAACAACAAUUUUGCCUUUCUACUUUCUGACCGUUUGCAAAGAAAUUUCCUAAACAUCACCACUGAGGCUCCUUCCAGCAAUGACUCUGGUCCAUCAUUGGGAUUGCUGAGCAGCUGUUUCAUAACAUGAACAAGGAUGUUUUAACCAUGUUUCUUGACCUGGCCAUUUGGAUCCCAAGGAUGUUUUGGUCCAAGAAUAAAUUCCAGAGCUUAGCUCACCGAAGAAGACAGGAAAACUUGUCAGAUGGGGAAGGAUGUGUCAAGAGCAUGCACACAGAUUUACUCUUCAGCUAGAAGCUCCAAUUCCUAGAUGAUCUGAAUCCAACUCAGAGUGCUUGCACCUGUUUCCUGCCACACAGCUAGAGCUGUCCAGUGAGAGAGACAUGAUGGCCCAGCUUGAAAAAGAAAUUGAGGAUAGCAAGUGUAACAUACCAAGCAUUCCACGAGCAGUGUCCCUCUAGGUUCUCUGAUUGGCUGAAGCUACUCUAAGCCAAGAGAUCAAAGAAGCUGAUAAUGUAGAAUGUAAGUUUGUCUCCUGGGCCACAAUGGAAAGCAGAGACUGUAGCUGGAGGAGUGAAUAGAGGAUAUGCAGCUCUGGUAAUUCUCAGUACAAUUCCCAGUGGUCCACUCUGCAGAAUGAACCAAGUUCCAUUUUGCCCAACUUCUGGCAGUCCACAUUUGGACUGUGAGCUCACCUACAGAUAAAUCGUACGUGGAUUGAUGCAGUAACUGGAUUUGUAGCUGCUAAAUCUUAUUUAAGUGAGGACCUGUCCAGUACAUGUGAAGACCACCCAUCCACUGAAAGUGAUAAGUGAAGCUGAAUCAAUACUAGACUGAAUCAAUACUGAGCUGAAUCAAUACUUUCCCAAUUUUGAGGAAAUCUUGGAAAAUCUCUGAGAAAUGUGGUAGUAAUUAUUUUGAAGAAUUGGAAAACUUUAUAGCUGAUUAUGCUAUGUGUGGAAGAUACAACAGGAUUAUAAGAGAGAGAAGACAAUAUCCUUGCUGUGUCCAGAAGGCUUUAGCCGGGGUGUCCUACUGAGAGAUGACAAACUUAAGGUUUUUCUCUUCCCAGACAUUACUGGACAACUAGCUAUGUAAUUAGGUCUUAUGCCGAAAAGACUGAAAGGAAAACAUCUCAGAUCUAGGAAUGUGAUCAAGAAAGAAGGCUGGUUAAAGAAUAACAUGGGGAAAAUGAAUGCAGUGAAAUGGUUCACGCACAAGUUCUAGGAAUUCAGAGUGCAACAGCAGAAAUGCGAUUUUUGUUAGAUAUUUCAGAAAGUGAUGUGAGUCCCUGAGGUCAUACUGCAGCGUUCAGGUUCUGUUUGGCCUCCUGCACGAAGCUUUCCUUGAUUGGAAAAGCUGCAUACUCUGAAGCACAUCGCAUGUGUCCUGUCUGUAGUUCAUUUCAUUUCCCCAGAUUUGUUAUCAUCCACCAUCACUCAUACAAGCCUACCUUCUUCAUGCCAACCUUUGUAAUCUUUCUACCUUGCUAACCUGGUCAUGUCAAGGACCAGCUAAUAAAUAGCAAAGUUGUACCUUGAGCCAAGGUAUCUUGACUCUUAGUCCAGUGCUCUUUAUAUACCUCUGAAGUCUUAUUUGAGCUUCAAAAUUAUGAGUCUGUGCUCUCAAGAUUUUUUUGAAAAUGUACUUAAUGUUGCCCCUAAGCUUUUAUGAGAAAUAAUAAAGUUCUUUCCAGA